rnacentral:lncRNA from 10 species
GCCCAGGACCCGGCAGCUGCCGCAGCGAGCAUUUCCAUUGGCUUAGGCGCUCCCCACUAGAACUCGAGUGAUUGGUUCUGGAAUAGGAGUGAGAGAAGCAGUGUCCAAUGACAAUGGUGCCUCCUACUUUGAAGGCGGGGCGUGAGGGGUGGCAGCGUGAGGUGGGGGCUGUGCGCGCAGGGAGGAGCGUAAAAGUUGACAGCCUUGAGCAUGUGACACCUUCUGCCAUGAGAUGAUGCUACAAGAAGAACCUCACCGACUGCUGGCACCUUGAUACUGGACUUCACAGCCUCCAGAAUUGUGAGCCAAUGUCUUUCAAACAUUGAUAAUUACAGCUUUCAGACCCAAAGCCUACAAAUUCAUAAUCCAUACAGAUGACAUACUAAAAUCUACUCAAACUUGUAAGUCUGAAGACAAUUUCAGCACUAUUGGACUUACAUUAGGAGAAAACUGCUUAAAAAGAGAUAAUCCACUUUAAAGCAAGAAAACAAGAUAAUUCAAGGGAAAAAUGUAUGACUCUAAAUUUGGAAACCAGACAGGAUCUGCUAAUACGGGGCAGAAUGUUAAAAAGAGGAUGAAUUUUGAUUUCAGAAAAUUUAGAAGAAAAUGGAUUUCUCAGGCAACUGAAAGAACAUAUUUGGAUCUGUUAAGAUGAAAGGAGACUUCAAGAGAACUGGACUUUGUGUUGGACAGGCUGUCUGUGACAGGGAAAAAACCCCUUCUGAAUGAUUAGGGAUGAAUCAGUUAACUUGCUUGAGUUUCACAUUCUUCAUCUGUAAAAUCUGGUGAUUAGACUGGCCCAGCAAAAGAUAUAAUGGGCAAAAGAUAUAAUACACAUAAAUUGGAAUGAAUCUGCAUUUUCCAAGCCUGAUGACUUUAUUAAAACUGAAUUAAGUCACUAACUGGCAGCCUGAAGAUGAAAGGAAAGAACUCAGUCAUGCUUCUUAAGGUAAAAGGGCAGUCUAACUGAGAAUUUUGUUAUCUCUGAGGACAAAUUACAAGGAGAUAAAGACACUCAAGAUCACAUGGAAGGCUUCUGCUCCCACUUAGAGACUGCAAUGUAAGGUAUGGAAACAGAAUAUUCUCUAUAGAAACAUACAUAUUAAAAUAUGAACAUUUUUGUUCUUAUUUCAAUCCAAAAAUAAAUAAAUGAAUUAAAUGUCAAAGAUA